AAAGCAAAUCUGGGGACGGGUGUUGAUUUUAAAAGAGAAGGAAAGAAGAGCUAGUUGCUCACUGCAGGUUCUCCUGGCUCGGCGGUGCGGAGGCAAAGGCCUGUUUCUGCAAAGACUUUGAGGACCCAUGACUCUUCCUCAACCUCCAGACCGCUGGAGGUCCCUGAUAGUUGAAUAAGCUAAGAGCAGUGUGCCCGCCUAGUUCUUUCCUGGAAGAUGAAACGCAGCUCCCGAGUCGGGAGACGGAAGAAUGGAUAAACAUUCCUCAAUUGCUGUUGAUAGGUUCUCACCCCAGAACCCGGGCAGUCGGCCUCAUGCUCCAGAGUGCAGGUCCCGUAAGGUACCCAAGGGGAGCCGUCAAUUAGAGCCGUGCUUGAGCCUAAGGCUGACCUGAACCGUUUGAAGGCAGAUCUUCCAUGGAGCGCCCCGGUCCUUUUCUGGAAAGGUCAAAGGGACGAGAGGGGUCUCUGCAGUGUCCUGGAUCUGGUUUCAACCUCACCUUCUCCAUGUAUGAGAAAACAAGUCACUUGGAUUCACUGUGCCUCGGUUUCCCCAGAUGGCGAGCAGGACUCAGUCUUUUGGAAACUGAUCUCUUACUAGAACCAAGUCAACAAGAGCUACCCUUGGACUCUAGAUGCCUGGGAGCAUCUGGAGUCGUCGGGCAGAAGGAGAAGGUGGAGCGGGUCUUCCCGGAGGCCGGCUCCCACAGGGGCGGCCAAGGCUCUGGGCCUCUCGGCGUGCCUCUGUGGAUCCUGUUGGAUCCAGAACCGUCUGGAUCACCUGAAGAGUUAUUUGAAACCAGCUGA
rnacentral:lncRNA from 1 species